rnacentral:rRNA from 1 species
UUAUCGUCCUAGAGUAAGGCGGGACACGUGAAAUCCUGUCUGAACAUGGGGAGACCACUCUCCAAGCCUAAGUACUCGUGCAUGACCGAUAGCGAACAAGUACCGUGAGGGAAAGGUGAAAAGCACCCCGACAAGGGGAGUGAAAGAGAACCUGAAACCGGUUGCCUACAAACAGUCGGAGCCAUUAUUGGUGACGGCGUACCUUUUGUAUAAUGGGUCAACGACUUAGUGUGACAUGCAAGCUUAAGCCGAUAGGUGUAGGCGCAGCGAAAGCGAGUCUGAAUAGGGCGAUCAUAGUAUGUUGCAUUAGACCCGAAACCGAGUGAUCUAGCCAUGAGCAGGUUGAAGGUUGGGUAACACCAACUGGAGGACCGAACCCGCAUCUGUUGCAAUAGAUUGGGAUGACUUGUGGCUAGGGGUGAAAGGCCAAUCAAACUCGGAGAUAGCUGGUUCUCCGCGAAAACUAUUUAGGUAGUGCGUCGAUCGAAUACCUCAGGGGGUAGAGCACUGAAUGGGCUAUGGGGACUCACCGUCUUACUGAUCCUAAUCAAACUCCGAAUACCUGAGAGUACUAAUCGGCAGACACACGGCGGGUGCUAACGUCCGUCGUGAAGAGGGCAACAACCCUGACCUCNNNNNNNNNNNNNNNNNNNNNNNNNNNNNNNNNNNNNAACCAGGAUGUUGGCUUAGAAGCAGCCAUCAUUUAAAGAAAGCGUAACAGCUCACUGGUCUAAAUAAGGGUCUUUGCGCCGAAAAUGUAACGGGGCUAAAGCCAUGCACCGAAGCUGAGGCUUAGACAUUCUAACGAAUAUCUAGGGGUAGCGGAGCGUUCCGUAAGCCUGUGAAGGGAGACCCGUGAGGGCUCCUGGAGGUAUCGGAAGUGCGAAUGUUGACAUGAGUAACGAUAAAGAGGGUGAGAGACCCUCUCGCCGAAAGACCAAGGGUUCCUGCUUAAAGUUAAUCUGAGCAGGGUUAGCCGGCCCCUAAGGCGAGGCGGAAACGCGUAGUCGAUGGGAACCACGUUAAUAUUCGUGGGCCUGGUGGGAAGUGACGGAUUGCGUAACUUGUUCUGACUUAUUGGAUUGUCAGGGCGGGGAAGCGNNNNNNNNNNNNNNNNNNNGUUCCAGGAAAUAGCCCCACCGUAUAGACCGUACCCGAAACCGACACAGGUGGUCAGGUAGAGCAUACCAAGGCGCUUGAGAGAACUAUGCUGAAGGAACUCGGCAAAUUGCACGCGUAACUUCGGAAGAAGCGUGACCCUUUUCUACGCAAGUAGGAUGGGGUGGCACAGACCAGGGGGUAGCGACUGUUUAUCAAAAACACAGGGCUCUGCGAAGUCUUUAAGACGACGUAUAGGGCCUGACGCCUGCCCGGUGCUGGAAGGUUAAAGGGAGAGGUGCAAGCUUUGAACUGAAGCCCCAGUAAACGGCGGCCGUAACUAUAACGGUCCUAAGGUAGCGAAAUUCCUUGUCGGG